GUAUAGACGGAGGCGUGGGGUCAGGAAUGCGUAAAUAUCGUUCUCAGUGUUACGCGCGUGGGCGUAGAUACGUGCGACGGACAGACUGGUCGGUUCUCGCAGGGUUGUGCCCUGGGGGCGGGGAAGGGUACCUUGAUUCAACGGCGAUCGAUUCGGAUCGGAAUUGGCCUGUAUCCGUUCGCCAACGGGACUGGAGGGCGGCGAGGUCGUCGUCGGUCCUGACGGUGUCGUUGGAAGGCUGAUGAGAGGGACAAUGUUCGUCGCAGACGGUACCGAGGGUGUGGUUGGGGCGCUCAUCGUUGUCGUCGGCCGCGGCAACUGGCUGGGUGGUCCUGCUGGAAGGCCUGGAAGACAUGCUCCGAUUAGGAUACUUCCAGGCGAGACCCGUAGCGACGAACAGAGACGAGCAACCGUUCGAGGCCAGGGGCGGGACGUACCUGGCGGCCUCUGAGGACCGGUUUGUACCGGCGGUAUCAAGCUGUUGGGCCUGCUGGGGCCCAUCGGCGGCCUGAUUCUGGCAGCCGCCACGCUGCCAACGGCUCCCGCGCCGAUGCUGAUCUGCAGGCGACUCUGGAAGCCUCGCGGGUCCAGGGACGAACUCGAGUAGGUCAAGCUCGAGCCCUGCGAUCUGAUGUCGAUCGGCGGCUGCGGCUCCGAGGACGGCGGCCUGAGUGUCAGGCUGACGGAGGUGUAGCUUCGCGUGUGAUCGAUCUGCGGCCCGGCGACGUUCUCCACGCUGAGCAACGGGUCCGCGUAGUGUGCCCGUGGAUCGACGAUCAGAUCGGUUCGUUUACAGGCGCCACCGAUCGUGGGCACCGUUCGGAAGUCUAAAGAUCGACGAUUCGGUUUUAACAUUUUCAGGAAUCCCUCUGAAGA